rnacentral:rRNA from 1 species
GGUCAAGCGAACAAGUGCAUGUGGUGGAUGCCUUGGCGAUCACAGGCGAUGAAGGACGCGGUAGCCUGCGAAAAGCUACGGGGAGCUGGCAAACGAGCUUUGAUCCGUAGAUGUCCGAAUGGGGAAACCCACUCCUUUUGGAGUAUCCAUGGCUGAAUACAUAGGCCAUGUGAAGCGAACGCGGUGAACUGAAACAUCUAAGUAACCGCAGGAAAAGAAAUCAACCGAGAUUCCCAAAGUAGUGGCGAGCGAAAUGGGAUGAGCCUUGCACUCUUUAUUUGUAUUGUUAGCCGAACGCUCUGGAAAGUGCGGCCAUAGCAGGUGAUAGCCCUGUAGGCGAAAACAGUAUGAAAGAACUAGGUGUGCGACAAGUAGGGCGGGACACGUGAAAUCCUGUCUGAAGAUGGGGGGACCAUCCUCCAAGGCUAAAUACUCGUGAUCGACCGAUAGUGAACCAGUACCGUGAGGGAAAGGCGAAAAGAACCCCGGGAGGGGAGUGAAAUAGAUCCUGAAACCGCAUGCAUACAAACAGUCGGAGCCUCGCAAGGGGUGACGGCGUACCUUUUGUAUAAUGGGUCAGCGACUUACGUUCAGUAGCAAGCUUAACCGUAUAGGGCAGGCGUAGCGAAAGCGAGUCCGAAUAGGGCGUUCAGUUGCUGGGCGUAGACCCGAAACCAGGUGAUCUAUCCAUGGCCAGGAUGAAGGUGCGGUAACACGUACUGGAGGUCCGAACCCACUAACGUUGAAAAGUUAGGGGAUGAGCUGUGGAUAGGGGUGAAAGGCUAAACAAACCUGGAAAUAGCUGGUUCUCUCCGAAAACUAUUUAGGUAGUGCCUCGUGUCUCACCUUCGGGGGUAGAGCACUGUCAUGGUUGGGGGGUCUAUUGCAGAUUACCCCGCCAUAGCAAACUCCGAAUACCGAAGAGUGCAAUCACGGGAGACAGACAUCGGGUGCUAACGUCCGGUGUCAAGAGGGAAACAACCCAGACCGCCAGCUAAGGUCCCCAAAUAUAGCUAAGUGGGAAACGAAGUGGGAAGGCUAAAACAGUCAGGAGGUUGGCUUAGAAGCAGCCACCCUUUAAAGAAAGCGUAAUAGCUCACUGAUCGAGUCGUCCUGCGCGGAAGAUGUAACGGGGCUAAGCUAUAUACCGAAGCUGCGGAUGCGUGCUUAGCACGCAUGGUAGGAGAGCGUUCCGUAAGCCUGCGAAGGUGCCUUGUAAAGGGUGCUGGAGGUAUCGGAAGUGCGAAUGCUGACAUGAGUAGCGAUAAAGGGGGUGAAAGGCCCCCUCGCCGUAAGCCCAAGGUUUCCUACGCAACGUUCAUCGGCGUAGGGUGAGUCGGCCCCUAAGGCGAGGCAGAAAUGCGUAGCUGAUGGGAAGCAGGUCAAUAUUCCUGCACCAUUGUUAGAUGCGAUGGGGGGACGGAUCGCGGAAGGUUGUCCGGGUGUUGGAAGUCCCGGUCGCUGCAUUGGAGAAGGCGCUUAGGCAAAUCCGGGCGCAGGAUUCAAGGGUGUGGCGCGAGCUCCUUAGGGAGCGAAGCAAUUGGAAGUGGUUCCAAGAAAAGCCUCUAAGCUUCAGUCUAACGAUGACCGUACCGCAAACCGACACAGGUGGGCGAGAUGAGUAUUCUAAGGCGCUUGAGAGAACUCGGGAGAAGGAACUCGGCAAAUUGGUACCGUAACUUCGGGAUAAGGUACGCCCUUGUAGCUUGACUGGCCUGCGCCAGGAGGGUGAAGGGGUUGCAAUAAACUGGUGGCUGCGACUGUUUAAUAAAAACACAGCACUCUGCAAACACGAAAGUGGACGUAUAGGGUGUGACGCCUGCCCGGUGCCGGAAGAUUAAAUGAUGGGGUGCAAGCUCUUGAUUGAAGUCCCGGUAAACGGCGGCCGUAACUAUAACGGUCCUAAGGUAGCGAAAUUCCUUGUCGGGUAAGUUCCGACCUGCACGAAUGGCGUAACGAUGGCCACACUGUCUCCUCCCGAGACUCAGCGAAGUUGAAGUGUUUGUGAUGAUGCAAUCUACCCGCGGCUAGACGGAAAGACCCCAUGAACCUUUACUGUAGCUUUGCAUUGGACUUUGAACCGAUCUGUGUAGGAUAGGUGGGAGGCUAUGAAACCGGAACGCUAGUUUCGGUGGAGCCGUCCUUGAAAUACCACCCUGGUUUGUUUGAGGUUCUAACCUUGGCCCGUGAUCCGGGUCGGGGACAGUGCAUGGUAGGCAGUUUGACUGGGGCGGUCUCCUCCCAAAGCGUAACGGAGGAGUACGAAGGUACGCUAGGUACGGUCGGAAAUCGUGCUGAUAGUGCAAUGGCAUAAGCGUGCUUAACUGCGAGACCGACAAGUCGAGCAGGUGCGAAAGCAGGUCAUAGUGAUCCGGUGGUUCUGUAUGGAAGGGCCAUCGCUCAACGGAUAAAAGGUACUCUGGGGAUAACAGGCUGAUACCGCCCAAGAGUUCAUAUCGACGGCGGUGUUUGGCACCUCGAUGUCGGCUCAUCUCAUCCUGGGGCUGUAGCCGGUCCCAAGGGUAUGGCUGUUCGCCAUUUAAAGAGGUACGUGAGCUGGGUUUAAAACGUCGUGAGACAGUUUGGUCCCUAUCUGCCGUGGGCGUUGGAUAUUUGAAGGGGGCUGCUCCUAGUACGAGAGGACCGGAGUGGACGAACCUCUGGUGUACCGGUUGUCACGCCAGUGGCAUCGCCGGGUAGCUAUGUUCGGAAGAGAUAACCGCUGAAAGCAUCUAAGCGGGAAACUCGCCUUAAGAUGAGAUAUCCCUGGAGGCUAGACCUCCUUGAAGGGUCGUUCGAGACCAGGACGUUGAUAGGUCAGGUGUGUAAGCGCAGUAAUGCGUUCAGCUAACUGAUACUAAUUGCCCGUAAGGCUUGAUCCU